rnacentral:rRNA from 1 species
AAUAGUACCUGAAACCGUGUGCCUACAAGCCGUGGGAGCGUCGGGAUGGAGCUUGCUCCAUCCUCGUGACUGCGUGCCUUUUGAAGAAUGAGCCUGCGAGUUUGCGGUGUGUUGCGAGGUUAACCCGAGUGGGGAAGCCGUAGCGAAAGCGAGUCCGAAUAGGGCGUUUUUAGUAGCACGCUCAAGACCCGAAGCGGAGUGAUCUAGCCAUGGGCAGGUUGAAGCGGCUGUAAGAGGUCGUGGAGGACCGAACCCACCAGGGUUGAAAACCUGGGGGAUGACCUGUGGUUAGGG